CCGUGAACCUUUACUAUAGCUUGACACUGAACAUUGAGCCUUGAUGUGUAGGAUAGGUGGGAGGCUUUGAAGCGUGGACGCCAGUCUGCGUGGAGCCAACCUUGAAAUACCACCCUUUAAUGUUUGAUGUUCUAACGUUGGCCCCUGACCGGGGUUGCGGACAGUGUCUGGUGGGUAGUUUGACUGGGGCGGUCUCCUCCCAAAGCGUAACGGAGGAGCACGAAGGUUAGCUAAUCCUGGUCGGACAUCAGGAGGUUAGUGCAAUGGCAUAAGCUAGCUUGACUGCGAGCGUG
rnacentral:rRNA from 1 species